UACGUAGGGGGCGAGCGUUGUCCGGAUUUAUUGGGCGUAAAGAGCUCGUAGGCGGCUUGGCAAGUCGGGUGUGAAACCUCCAGGCUCAACCUGGAGACGCCACUCGAUACUGCUAUGGCUAGAGUCCGGUAGGGGACCACGGAAGUUCCUGGUGAGCGGUGAAAUGCGCAGAUAUCAGGAGGAACACCAAUUGCGAAGGCAGCUCGCUGGGACGUUACUGACGCUGAGACGCGAAAGCGUGGGGAGCAAACAGG
rnacentral:rRNA from 1 species